CCUACGGGAGGCAGCAGUGAGGAAUAUUGGUCAAUGGGCGUAAGCCUGAACCAGCCAAGUCGCGUGAGGGAUGAAGGUUCUAUGGAUCGUAAACCUCUUUUAUAAGGGAAUAAAGUGCGGGACGUGUCCCGUUUUGUAUGUACCUUAUGAAUAAGGAUCGGCCAACUUCGCGCCAGCAGCCGCGGUAAUACGGAGGGUCCGAGCGUUAUCCGGAUUUGUUGGGGUUAAAGGGUGCGUAGGCGGCCUUUUAAGUCAGCGGUGAAAGGCUGUGGCUCAACCUUAGAAUUGCCGUUGAAACUGGGAGGCUUGAGUGUGUUUGAGGCAGGUGGAAUGCGUGGUGUAGCGGUGAAAUGCUUAGAUAUCAGGCGGAACCCCGAUGGCGAAGGCGGCCUGCCAAGCCAUGACUGACGCUGAUGCACGAAAGCGUGGGGAUCAAACAGGAUUAGAUACCCCGGUAGUC
rnacentral:rRNA from 1 species